rnacentral:rRNA from 1 species
AUUGAACGCUGGCGGCAGGCCUAACACAUGCAAGUCGAGCGGAUGAAGGGAGCUUGCUCCUGGAUUCAGCGGCGGACGGGUGAGUAAUGCCUAGGAAUCUGCCUGGUAGUGGGGAUAACGUCCGGAAACGGGCGCUAAUACCGCAUACGUCCUGAGGGAGAAAGUGGGGGAUCUUCGGACCUCACGCUAUCAGAUGAGCCUAGGUCGGAUUAGCUAGUUGGUGGGGUAAAGGCCUACCAAGGCGACGAUCCGUAACUGGUCUGAGAGGAUGAUCAGUCGCACUGGAACUGAGACACGGUCCAGACUCCUACGGGAGGCAGCAGUGGGGAAUAUUGGACAAUGGGCGAAAGCCUGAUCCAGCCAUGCCGCGUGUGUGAAGAAGGUCUUCGGAUUGUAAAGCACUUUAAGUUGGGAGGAAGGGCAGUAAGUUAAUACCUUGCUGUUUUGACGUUACCAACAGAAUAAGCACCGGCUAACUUCGUG